AUUGAACGCUGGCGGCAUGCCUUACACAUGCAAGUCGAACGGCAGCACGGGAGCAAUCCUGGUGGCGAGUGGCGAACGGGUGAGUAAAGUAUCGGAACGUGCCCAGUCGUGGGGGAUAACGUAGCGAAAGUUACGCUAAUACCGCAUACGAUCUAUGGAUGAAAGCGGGGGAUCGCAAGACCUCGCGCGAUUGGAGCGGCCGAUAUCAGAUUAGGUAGUUGGUGGGGUAAAGGCUCACCAAGCCGACGAUCUGUAGCUGGUCUGAGAGGACGACCAGCCACACUGGGACUGAGACACGGCCCAGACUCCUACGGGAGGCAGCAGUGGGGAAUUUUGGACAAUGGGCGAAAGCCUGAUCCAGCCAUGCCGCGUGCAGGAUGAAGGCCUUCGGGUUGUAAACUGCUUUUGUACGGAACGAAAAGGUUUGGCCUAAUAAGCUGAGCUCAUGACGGUACCGGAAGAAUAAGGACCGGCUAACUACGUGCCAGCAGCCGCGGUAA
rnacentral:rRNA from 1 species